UACGUAGGGCGCAAGCGUUGUCCGGAAUUAUUGGGCGUAAAGAGCUCGUAGGCGGCUUGUCACGUCGGGUGUGAAAGCCCGGGGCUUAACCCCGGGUCUGCAUUCGAUACGGGCUAGCUAGAGUGUGGUAGGGGAGAUCGGAAUUCCUGGUGUAGCGGUGAAAUGCGCAGAUAUCAGGAGGAACACCGGUGGCGAAGGCGGAUCUCUGGGCCAUUACUGACGCUGAGGAGCGAAAGCGUGGGGAGCGAUCAGG
rnacentral:rRNA from 1 species